GUGGGUGGAAGAUUGGCUGUGUGAGUGGAUGGAUGGAUGGGUGAGUGGUUGGGUAGGUAUGUAAAUGGGUGGAUGGAUGAGUGGGUGGAUGGAGCUUUGUUGAGCCAUACUGGUUUUGGGGGUCUUUCCCUCUCAUGAAACUCCCCAAGAGCCAGAAGUCUUCUGUUGGAUUGUAAGAAUGCUGCCCAAAGGAGCUCAAAAGGAAAAUGAGUUCCAGCGAAGGCAGAUAUCAUGGCAGGAUCCCCGAGGGACAGCACAUUGAGGGUCAAAAUGGGCCCUGCGUCAACCCAGGCUCAGGUAGCAAGGCCUUCUCUUGCCAGGCCUCAGCCUGUGUUUCUUACCCAGAAGACAGGAAAGGGGUAGUCAGAAGAGCCUUUUGCCAAAGAGGCAGAUCUCCAUUCUGCUCCUCUCCUGUCUGCUCUUGUCUGCUCCUCAGCAUCCACAGCUGUUCCCACCAUAACCUUCUGUAGCCUCCUGCACAUCUGCCUAACAUCUGCUGUUCUGGUGGCUGGUCCAAGACCAGGGCCUCGUCGAUGCCAGGGGGAGCAUGGAAGCUUCAGGAGUCCUGCAGCAGCCUCUCUUGACCUGGGGAGGUCUUGGGCAGACUCUAAGUGCUGGCUCAGUACCUGCUGGGGUGACCACUGGCUCCAGAGGGGAGGGGAGCAGCUGUGAACAUGCCCACCUGUGUUGCUAUAAGGUGCCCCCUCAGUGCAACCAGCCUUGUGCAUGGAAUGUUCAUCCCUACCUGGCACUCCACCCAGGCAGCCAGCAUCGGGGGCUGGGAGGAGGACAUUGUUCUAGAGCUCCCUGUUUACUCCUGCUCUCUCCUCACUGCAAGAGAACUGUUGAGGAAAGAGCCAGGCUUGGGGUGGACACGGAUGGUUUCUGGCCCUCCUGCUACUGCUAGAAACUCACCAAGGCAGCUCUCCCGAUGCUGCCUGCGGGACAGUUUCCUUGUUAUUACAUUGAUUGUUACUUUUUUCCCAGACAUAUUGAUUGGGUUCCAUUGGCUGACUUUGGCCGAUCAAAAGACUCUGCAGCCCAUCGGAAGCCUUAGGAGUCUGAGGUCGUGGCUUUCACUCAAGUUUCCAGUCCAGGAGGUUGAAAUUCUGUCUGUGAGAACCUAA
rnacentral:lncRNA from 13 species